ensembl:snRNA U6 U6 spliceosomal RNA
GUGCUCACUUCGGCAGCACAUACACUAAAAUUGGAACGUUACAGAGAAGAUUAGCAUGGCCCCUGCCCAAGGAUGACAUGCAAAUUCGUGAAGCGUUCCAUAUUUUU